rnacentral:rRNA from 1 species
UACGUAGGGGGCUAGCGUUGUCCGGAAUCAUUGGGCGUAAAGAGCGUGUAGGCGGCCCGGUAAGUCCGCUGUGAAAGUCGGGGGCUCAACCCUCGAAUGCCGGUGGAUACUGUCGGGCUAGAGUGCAGAAGAGGCGAGUGGAAUUCCUGGUGUAGCGGUGAAAUGCGCAGAUAUCAGGAGGAACACCGAUUGCGAAGGCAGCUCGCUGGGACGUAACUGACGCUGGAGAACGCGAAAGCGUGGGGAGCGAACAGG